rnacentral:rRNA from 1 species
GGAGCCAGCCGUCUAAGGUGGGACAGAUGAUUGGGGUGAAGUCGUAACAAGGUAGCCGUAGGAGAACCUGCGGCUGGAUCACCUCCUUUCUAAGGAAUAAUUACGG